rnacentral:rRNA from 1 species
AACGCGAAGAACCUUACCUGGGCUAGAAAGUAUGGGAACCUGGUAGAAGUAUCGGGGUGCUCUUCGGAGAACCCAUAGUUAGGUGCUGCAUGGCUGUCGUCAGCUCGUGUCGUGAGAUGUUGGGUUAAGUCCCGCAACGAGCGCAACCCUUACCCCCAGUUGCCAUCAUUAAGUUGGGCACUCUGGUGGAACCGCCUCGGAUAACGGGGAGGAAGGUGGGGAUGACGUCAAGUCCUCAUGGCCUUUAUGUCCAGGGCUACACACGUGCUACAAUGGCCGGUACAAACCGUCGCAAAGCCGCGAGGUGGAGCUAAUCGGAAAAAGCCGGCCUCAGUUCGGAUCGCAGUCUGCAACUCGACUGCGUGAAGCUGGAAUCGCUAGUAAUCGUGGAUCAGAAUGCCACGGUGAAUACGUUCCCGGGCCUUGUACACACCGAGACGUA